UGAAUGCACGUAUGUAAGACAAUAAUUAUUUGUUAAUUAAGAAAUAAUAAAUCUUCAGUGCAUCUAAAGGCGAUUCGCUGAUAUUUGUAUUAAUAUAGGUAAACAAAGUGCCGGCAGUUAAAAGAAAAUUGGAGCAAAACGACCGAGGAGAAAAUUGAUGGUCCGGAAAAGAUGUAUAGAUUAACGACAACUAGUUUGGAAUGUGGGAGUAUCCUAAAGGGCGAGAUGGGUAGAGGAAAAUCAGCUACUGUGGUCAAAGGGUGUCAAUCCUCUUAACAAAGAAGCACGCUCAUAAGAGCAGCGCAAAUUGUACGUAUUUCUGGCGAGCCUACGAUUGCCACUUGAAGCACGGAUAAGUUGAAGAAAUGGUUGACCACUACAGACUCAAAGCCGCAUUCGUAGCUUUAACGGCUUAUGCACAUACCCAGAGGAUAGAGUCCCAGUGGCGGGUAGCGAAAUGGUAACAAAUGUAUAAAGAGACAUUCUACAAAUUUUGCGGAUUGACAAUAAAUUAUGUUGAUGCACGAAAUCGCAAAUUAUAAA